AGGCAGUUCACUUAACAUUGCAUCUGAUAGCACUCGUGGCUGGAGUUGUGGGGGUCUAUGCAGCUUUUAAGUUUAAGCAUGAGAUUGAAGAUAAAGAUAUGGUUACCUUACAUUCCUGGCUAGGCAUUAUUACCAUCUGCCUAUUUGGUCUACAGGUAAUUAAUUUUCUAUGCACUUUAAUGUGUUCAAAAUCUUAAUUGAUAUUUGAUUUAAGAAACAGAUUAACCAAAUCUUGUAUG
rnacentral:misc_RNA from 1 species